UAUUAGGCUGGUGCAAAAGCAACUGCAGUUUUGCCAUUACUUUUAAUGGCAAAAACUGCAGUUGCUUUUGCACCAGCCUAAUA
rnacentral:pre_miRNA from 1 species